rnacentral:rRNA from 1 species
UGAGGAACCUACCCCGGACUCAGGGAUAACGGCUGGAAACGGCUGCUAAUACCUGAUGCCGUCGGAGCAUCACAUGGUGCACUGACGAAAGAAUCUCGGUUCGGGAGGGUCUCGCGGCCUAUCAGCUAGUUGGUGGGGUAACGGCCUACCAAGGCAUCGACGGGUAGCUGGUCUGAGAGGAUGAUCAGCCACACUGGGACUGAAACACGGCCCAG